rnacentral:rRNA from 1 species
AGUGAACGCUGGCGGUAGGCCUAACACAUGCAAGUCGAACGGCAGCACAGUAAGAGCUUGCUCUUACGGGUGGCGAGUGGCGGACGGGUGAGGAAUACAUCGGAAUCUACUUUUUCGUGGGGGAUAACGUAGGGAAACUUACGCUAAUACCGCAUACGACCUACGGGUGAUAGCAGGGGAUCUUCGGACCUUGCGCGAUUGAAUGAGCCGAUGUCGGAUUAGCUAGUUGGCGGGGUAAAGGCCCACCAAGGCGACGAUCCAUAGCUGGUCUGAGAGGAUGAUCAGCCACACUGGAACUGAGACACGGUCCAGACUCCUACGGGAGGCAGCAGUGGGGAAUAUUGGACAAUGGGCGCAAGCCUGAUCCAGCCAUACCGCGUGGGUGAAGAAGGCCUUCGGGUUGUAAAGCCCUUUUGUUGGGAAAGAAAAGCAGCAGGUUAAUACCCCGCUGUUCUGACGGUACCCAAAGAAUAAGCACCGGCUAACUUCGUG